AUUGAACGCUGGCGGCAUGCUCUACACAUGCAAGUCGAACGGUAACAGGCCGCAAGGUGCUGACGAGUGGCGAACGGGUGCGUAAUGCAUCGGAACGUGCCCAGUCGUGGGGGAUAACUACUCGAAAGAGUAGCUAAUACCGCAUACGAUCUAUGGAUGAAAGCGGGGGACCGUAAGGCCUCGCGCGAUUGGAGCGGCCGAUGUCAGAUUAGGUAGUUGGUGGGGUAAAGGCUCACCAAGCCAACGAUCUGUAGCUGGUCUGAGAGGACGACCAGCCACACUGGGACUGAGACACGGCCCAGACUCCUACGGGAGGCAGCAGUGGGGAAUUUUGGACAAUGGGCGCAAGCCUGAUCCAGCAAUGCCGCGUGCAGGAAGAAGGCCUUCGGGUUGUAAACUGCUUUUGUACGGAACGAAACGGCUCUGGUUAAUACCCGGGGCUAAUGACGGUACCGGAAGAAUAAGCACCGGCUAACUACGUG
rnacentral:rRNA from 1 species